CCUGGCUCAGGACGAACGCUGGCGGCGUGCUUAACACAUGCAAGUCGAGCGAGGCCCACUCUUCGGGGUGGUGCCCUAGCGGCGAACGGGUGAGUAACACGUGGGCAACCUGCCCUCAGCUCUGGGAUAACUCCAAGAAAUUGGUGCUAAUACCGGAUGUGACCGCUGACCGCAUGGUCUGGUGGUGGAAAGAUUCAUCGGCUGAGGAUGGGCCCGCGGCCUAUCAGCUUGUUGGUGGGGUAAUGGCCCACCAAGGCGACGACGGGUAGCCGGCCUGAGAGGGUGACCGGCCACACUGGGACUGAGACACGGCCCAGACUCCUACGGGAGGCAGCAGUGGGGAAUAUUGCGCAAUGGGCGAAAGCCUGACGCAGCGACGCCGCGUGAGGGAUGACGGCCUUCGGGUUGUAAACCUCUUUCAGUAGGGACGAAGCGAAAGUGACGGUACCUACAGAAGAAG
rnacentral:rRNA from 1 species